rfam:Felis catus isolate Cinnamon breed Abyssinian chromosome X, whole genome shotgun sequence.
GCCUGGGUGGCUCAGUCGGUUGAGCGUCCGACUUCGGCUCAGGUCAUGAUCUCGCGGUCCGCGAGUUCGAGCCCCGCGUCGGGCU